GAUGAACGCUGGCGGCGUGCCUAACACAUGCAAGUCGAGCGAACAGACGAGGAGCUUGCUCCUCUGAAGUUAGCGGCGGACGGGUGAGUAACACGUGGAUAACCUACAUAUAAGACUGGGAUAAGUUCGGGAAACCGGAGCUAAUACCGGAUAAUAUAUUGAACCGCAUGGUUCAAUAGUGAAAGACGGUUUUGCUGUCACUUAUAGAUGGAUCCGCGCCGCAUUAGCUAGUUGGUAAGGUAACGGCCUACCAAGGCGACGAUGCGUAGCCGACCUGAGAGGAUGAUCAGCCACACUGGAACUGAGACACGGUCCAGACUCCUACGGGAGGCAGCAGUAGGGAAUCUUCCGCAAUGGGCGAAAGCCUGACGCAGCAACGCCGCGUGAGUGAUGAAGGUCUUCGGAUCGUAAAACUCUGUUAUUAGGGAAGAACAAAUGUGUAAGUAACUAUUCACGUCUUGACGUUACCUAAUCAGUAAGCCACGGCUAACUACGUG
rnacentral:rRNA from 1 species